CCCCUCUCGGGUUCACACCUGGAGAGUUUCUAGUACUCUACCAACCUUGGCUACAGGGGGGAGGGUCAAGCAGAGACCCACCCAUUCCAUUCCUAGCUUGGCCAGCAGCUAGCAAGUGGAAGGCAAUCUGCUACAAGU